UACAUUUGUCUUAGUUCAUUGUCUGUAUGAUUCUCCCUAUUCCUACUCUUCUUCCUUACCAAAUCUCUUUAUCUUUUUUGUAUCUCUGGUGUCUUGACCACUUCAAGCUACUUCUUUGCUUCUGGAUAGCCCCUUUCUAGGCAUAUAUUAAAGAAAGUCAAGGGACUUAAGGAAGUUCUGGAUUGUCUGACUUUAUCAUUUCAGCUGAGAAAAUAGAACCUAAUCUAAAAGAAAAGGGUAUGGGAAGGGCAGAUUGAAAAUAAUUUUUUUAAGAUCUUGUAUCUUGAAAUCACAAAACUGCCCAGUUAUUUAUUAGGUUGAUCU
rnacentral:lncRNA from 1 species